CCAUUAGCGUAUAUUAAAGUUGUUGCAGUUAAAAAGCUCGUAGUUGAAUUUCGGGGUUAGUAGGUUGGUCAUGCCUCUGGUAUGUACUGGUCUCACUGAUUCCUCCUUCCUGAUGAACCGUAAUGCCAUUAAUUUGGUGUUGCGGGGAAUUUGGACUGUUACUUUGAAAAAAUUAGAGUGUUUAAAGCAAGCUAACGCUUGAAUACAUUAGCAUGGAAUAAUGAAAUAGGACGUUCGAUCCUAUUUUGUUGGUUUCUAGGAUUGACGUAAUGAUUAAUAGGGAUAGUUGGGGGCAUUAGUAUUCAAUUGUCAGAGGUGAAAUUCUUGGAUUUAUUGAAGACUAACUACUGCGAAAGCAUUUGCCAAGGAUGUUUUCAUUAAUCAAGAACGAAAGUUAGGGGAUCGAAGACGAUCAGAUACCGUCGUAGUCUUAACCAUAAACUAUGCCGACUAGGGAUCGGAUGAUGUUAAUUUUUUAAUGACUCAUUCGGCGCCUUACG
rnacentral:rRNA from 1 species